GCACCUUUAACACUGGCCCACAACCCAAAGAAAACUCCUGGAUAGAUUCCGUCUAGAGAAAGGCCAAGAAAGCCAGCAAGGUCUAAAACCGAUUCUUCAGACUUGCUUAUAGCAACCUGCGAGGGCUGACCUUGUGGCCAGGUUGCAAGGAUGGGAUAGAAUAACAACAGAUGAGAAAGCUCUUUGCCGUGUUGCAGGCAGUUUGUGAAGAGAUCAGAGUCUGCUUGAAAAUUCAAUGUUCCUUUGGAGCCCAAAGUAUUUAAAAUGCCCAGAGGAAAAGGAGGUGUAGAUCUGGUUAGCUCUGGUACUGACCCUCCCUGGCACUGUGGACACGGAGCAGGGAAAGUGUCACUUCUGGUCACCAUAGCCUUUUCCCACCCCACUUAAACAGCAUGGCUGUCCUGUGUCUUAUUCAGCUGUGUUGACAAGGUCCCUGCAAAACAUCUCAUGGUACUCCAUCCGCUAGCCCAGAAGACGCUGGCAUUCCUGAAUACCUUGGCAUCAGGAAUAUCUUUCAACUCCUUUUCCUUGGGUCUAAUAUCAGUUAAGCGGAAUAAUAGAAAAUUCCGUAAAUCCAACAUAUUCACUGGGGGAAAGUGAAAGGAAAACUUUCUAAGAAAAAACAAUGAAUUACAUAUUAUC